rnacentral:rRNA from 1 species
UUGGAGGGCAAGUCUGGUGCCAGCAGCCGCGGUAAUUCCAGCUCCAAUAGCGUAUAUUAAAGUUGUUGCAGUUAAAAAGCUCGUAGUUGAACUUCGGGGUUUACCCAUUGGUCAGGCUUAAUUGUCUGUACUGGUGAGAUAAAUCUCUACCUUCUGAGGAACUUUCAUGUCAUUAAUUUGGUGUGAUUGGAAAUCAGGACUGUUACUUUGAAAAAAUUAGAGUGUUUAAAGCAGGCUAACGUCUGAAUACAUUAGCAUGGAAUAAUGAAAUAGGACGGACUGAUUCUAUUUCGUUGGUUUCUAGGAUCACCGUAAUGAUUAAUAGGGAUAGUUGGGGGCAUUAGUAUUCAAUUGUCAGAGGUGAAAUUCUUGGAUUUAUUGAAGACUAACUUCUGCGAAAGCAUUUGCCAAGGAUGUUUUCAUUAAUCAAGAACGAAAGUUAGGGGAUCGAAGACGAUCAGAUACCGUCGUAGUCUUAACCAUAAACUAUGCCGACUAGGGAUCGGAUGAUGUUAAUUUUUUAAUGACUCAUUCGGCGCCUUACGGGAAACCAAAGUGUUUGGGUUC